rnacentral:rRNA from 1 species
UACGAAGGGGGCUAGCGUUGCUCGGAAUUACUGGGCGUAAAGCGCACGUAGGCGGCUUCUUAAGUCGGUGGUGAAAUCCUGGAGCUCAACUCCAGAACUGCCUUCGAUACUGGGAGCUUGAGUCCGGGAGAGGUGAGUGGAACUGCGAGUGUAGAGGUGAAAUUCGUAGAUAUUCGCAAGAACACCAGUGGCGGAAGGCGGCUCACUGGCC